CGGGUUUAAUAUUUUUUGACCUUCACGGGUUUUGACCCGAACCGAUUUGAAAACUCGGGUUCGGGUUUGCCUGACGGAAACCCGACCCAUGCCCAAUCCUAGUAUGUCAUUUAGGUAGACUUCGACAUUUAUAUUUUUAUUAGCCUUUGGAAGGUGAUAAGCAUUAUGACUCGAAACAAAUGGUACCCAUCUCGAUUAUGAAUGACGUUUUCUUCUCAUUUUAAGUGUCAUGGGAAUCUGGUUAUAUCGAUCCUGAGUGGACGUUUAUGAAGCUAAGUAGCUCGCAACCCGAACUCUAGUCCACUAGGCGAUCCGUUGAUGGCAGCGGGCAGCUGUCUAUGCACAUACGUCAUCCUGCAUCUGCUUUUCGGACCAUGACUAUGUUGGUCAACUACUUGGGAUCAUAUUAGAAUUAUAUAAUUAUGAUGUAUAAUUAUCCAAGUAUUGAGAUAUGAUGAAAUAUUUAUGUAUAAUAAUAUUGAACUUAUUGGAAAGUAAAUGACAAUACAGAUUUGUGAAGAUUGAGAUGAUUGCAGAAUGUAAAUGCUGGAGAUGAUGAAGACGAUGGACAGAUCGGAUGAAUGAUCUCCAGAUGAAGAACAAGCUUGACCAGAUGAUUUGAAUUCCAGAGGAAAGAUUGCAGAUUUCAGAGAACAGAUUGAAGAAGAUAGAGAUGGUGAUUUGGGACCAAGAACUUGAAU
rnacentral:lncRNA from 1 species